rnacentral:rRNA from 1 species
UACGAAGGGGGCUAGCGUUGCUCGGAAUCACUGGGCGUAAAGCGCACGUAGGCGGAUCUUUAAGUCAGGGGUGAAAUCCUGGAGCUCAACUCCAGAACUGCCUUUGAUACUGGGGAUCUCGAGUCCGGGAGAGGUGAGUGGAACUGCGAGUGUAGAGGUGAAAUUCGUAGAUAUUCGCAAGAACACCAGUGGCGAAGGCGGCUCACUGGCCCGGUACUGACGCUGAGGUGCGGA